rnacentral:rRNA from 1 species
UGCAAGUCGAACGAUGAUGCCAGCUUGCUGGUGGAUUAGUGGCGAACGGGUGAGUAACACGUGAGUAACCUGCCCUUAACUCUGGGAUAAGCCUGGGAAACUGGGUCUAAUACCGGAUAUGACUCCUCAUCGCAUGGUGGGGGGUGGAAAGCUUUAUUGUGGUUUUGGAUGGACUCGCGGCCUAUCAGCUUGUUGGUGAGGUAAUGGCUCACCAAGGCGACGACGGGUAGCCGGCCUGAGAGGGUGACCGGCCACACUGGGACUGAGACACGGCCCAGACUCCUACGGGAGGCAGCAGUGGGGAAUAUUGCACAAUGGGCGAAAGCCUGAUGCAGCGACGCCGCGUGAGGGAUGACGGCCUUCGGGUUGUAAACCUCUUUCAGUAGGGAAGAAGCGAAAGUGACGGUACCUGCAGAAGAAGCGCCGGCUAACUACGUGCCAGCAGCCGCGGUAAUACGUAGGGCGCAAGCGUUAUCCGGAAUUAUUGGGCGUAAAGAGCUCGUAGGCGGUUUGUCGCGUCUGCCGUGAAAGUCCGGGGCUCAACUCCGGAUCUGCGGUGGGUACGGGCAGACUAGAGUGAUGUAGGGGAGACUGGAAUUCCUGGUGUAGCGGUGAAAUGCGCAGAUAUCAGGAGGAACACCGAUGGCGAAGGCAGGUCUCUGGGCAUUAACUGACGCUGAGGAGCGAAAGCAUGGGGAGCGAACAGGAUUAGAUACCCUGGUAGUCCAUGCCGUAAACGUUGGGCACUAGGUGUGGGGGACAUUCCACGUUUUCCGCGCCGUAGCUAACGCAUUAAGUGCCCCGCCUGGGGAGUACGGCCGCAAGGCUAAAACUCAAAGGAAUUGACGGGGGCCCGCACAAGCGGCGGAGCAUGCGGAUUAAUUCGAUGCAACGCGAAGAACCUUACCAAGGCUUGACAUGAACCGGAAAUACCUGGAAACAGGUGCCCCGCUUGCGGUCGGUUUACAGGUGGUGCAUGGUUGUCGUCAGCUCGUGUCGUGAGAUGUUGGGUUAAGUCCCGCAACGAGCGCAACCCUCGUUCUAUGUUGCCAGCGCGUUAUGGCGGGGACUCAUAGGAGACUGCCGGGGUCAACUCGGAGGAAGGUGGGGACGACGUCAAAUCAUCAUGCCCCUUAUGUCUUGGGCUUCACGCAUGCUACAAUGGCCGGUACAAAGGGUUGCGAUACUGUGAGGUGGAGCUAAUCCCAAAAAGCCGGUCUCAGUUCGGAUUGGGGUCUGCAACUCGACCCCAUGAAGUCGGAGUCGCUAGUAAUCGCAGAUCAGCAACGCUGCGGU